rnacentral:sRNA from 1 species
ACCAGAGAGGACUACCUGAGGAUUGUUAAAGGCGCAGACUCAGACUGGCUACAUCACUUUUAGAGAAUAAAAUCAGUUGGUCACACCCAUCCGCUGACUCAAUUGAAUUGGAUUGAAUUCAAUAGUUUUUUGUUUUUUUUUACAUGUAGGGUCUUAGAGGCUUAGAAAUGUCCUCCCCCCACCCCUUUGUGUAUUCUUGUAGCUUUCUCCCUGUCCCGUAUUAGUGUUUGGAGAAGAGAUAUGUUCAAUAUGCUGAUGUGUGAAAGAGGUAUGUUCUUUGUGUAAGUAGGUGGGGGAAGAGGUAUGUUUUAUAUUUUUGUGCGAACAGGUAUGUUUUAUGUAUAUGUGGGAAGAGGUAUGUUCUUUAUGUGUGUGUGAAGAGGUAUGUUCUUUAUGUGUGUGGGAAGAGGUAUGUUCUAUAUUUAAGUAUGUGGGAAGAGGUAUGAUAUAUAUCUAGGUGUGUGGGAAAAGGUAUGUUCUAUAUGUGUGUGGGAAGAGGUAUGUUCUAUAUGUGUGUGGGAAAUGGUAAGUUCUAUAUGCGUGUGGGAAAAGGUAAGUUCUAUAUAUAAGUGCGUGGAACAAGUAUGUUUCACAUGUUCAUUAUGUAAAUGUGGAAAGAGAAAUGUUCUAUAUAUAAUUGUGGGAAAAGGUUUAACCAUAGAGGAGGUGAGGGAAACUGCACCCUCUCUUUGACCCACUCCCCACUUUUGUUCAUAUUGACGUCUUCUUACCGCAUACCUCCCCCGACUUAGCACUAGAACGGCUACUUCUUUUUUUUUAAUUACUUCUUUGUAUUUUCGGAGAUUUCCGUUAGUAAUAGCCAGAAAAUGUUUUAUAACGAUUUUUUAAAACAGAUAACCCCAUCCAUAGCAUAGACUCGUGUGUGGUCGUUUACUCAAGUUUUGCACUUUUAAGUAUAAUUGCGAAGAAAAAUAAAUGUAACCAAGGUAGAUAAUCCGAAUAAUUGUACUAGAUCACUAACAAAAUGAGUAACCGCUCUUUGUACUCUGUAGAAAUGAUGAUCUUUGUGAACUUUAAAAAAAUUGUAAAUGGUUUGUAAAUAAUCAAUUACAGAAUGCGUGAUAAAUGACAUGAAUUAUGUUGGCGUAAUAAAUUAAUAUAUAUUUUUUAAA